UACGGAGGGUGCGAGCGUUGUCCGGAAUCAUUGGGCGUAAAGGGCGCGUAGGUGGCUUCUUAAGCGUGCGGUGAAAGCCUGGGCUCAACCCGGGUCGGCCGUGCGAACUGGGGGGCUGGAGCACUGUAGAGGCAGGCGGAAUUCCGGGUGUGAGCGGUGGAAGUGCGUAGAGAUCCGGAAGAACACCGGUGGCGAAGGCGGCCUGCUGGGCAGUUGCUGGACACUGAGGCGCGACAGCGUGGGGAGCAAACAGGG
rnacentral:rRNA from 1 species